rnacentral:rRNA from 1 species
GGGUGUGGAACACGUGAGCGACCUGCCCUGGAGUGGGGGAUAGCCGGCCCAACGGCCGGGUAAUACCGCAUACGGCCUGCCCUGUUGGAGGGCGAGGCGAAGCCUUCGGAAGGAGGGCUCUGGGAGGGGCUCGCGGCCUAUCAGCUAGUUGGGGGGGUAACGGCUUCCCAAGGCGAUGACGGGUAGCUGGUCUGAGAGGAUGGCCAGCCACAUUGGGACUGAGAGACGGCCCAG